AGAGACCCAUCAAUUCACCCAAUUCAGGGACCGUAUCCGUCGAAAGGCGUGGCCUUCACGGCCUACAAAGGCCAAACCGACCGUUGUUAAAUGAGACUGUCUAUUGCGUCAUCAACUGACCCCGCCCUUACCCAUGUGUGGGGAAGCGCCGCUCCUGUCGCCUAGCAACCUUCACAGCUGCAUGGAGACCGUUAUUUUAAUUUUAAUAUUUUACCUCUUAAUAGAAGAACUAGAGCUACUUCACCGCCGGCGCCACCGCAUGAUGUAUCUCAGGCUGAGAGAGGACCCUGGCCAGCCCUGGCCCCUGUACUGCAGGAUAAAUUGGAGUGUUCCUGUGCUGGACAGGUUUUUUAGCCAGCAGGACACAUGGCUGGAUUGAGCAGGGAGGCCCUGGGAGUGCUACUGGGCCUCCUAACGGAGACACGGAUGGGGUGCCACGAUUGAGACCCUGGUGUUUCUCUUCUGGCUGGCAAGUGGGGCAUCAUACAGGGUGGUCUCCAGAGUGUGUUAUCCAUUGCGCCAUCACCACCUGUCAUAACAGAAUGUGCCAUCCUCCACAACAUCUGCCUUGGGGCUGGUGACAUUGUGGCCCCAGAGGAUGAGCCUGAGGAGUAUGUGGCAGAGGAUGAGGGGGAGAACAGGUUGGAGACAGUCAGUGGUGCUCCCUGGCAUGACCAGCUGUCUGCAGAGGUGUCUGCCCUGGAGGAAGUGCCCCCUGACCACCAAUAUUUUUAACAGGCAGUGACAUGGCAGCCGUCGAUUAAACCAGCCCUGCAAACCCAUUGAUGGACGAUGCAGUGGACAGUGGAGAGAUGCAUCCACACCUGCAACACACUCUAGAGACCACCCUAGAUGAUGUCCUGCUGACCAGGGUCUUUAUUGUGGCAGCCCAUCCAGGUCCAGCUACAUCAUCAGGGUCUCCCUGCUCAGCAGAAUAAACGUUGUAAAUAUGUUGAAAAUAGUUAUAAAGACCACAGAAAAUUUUAUAAUUUAAUUAACAAAUAUUUAAUUUUAAUUGAUUAAUAAAUAUUAUAUAUAUUAUUA